rnacentral:lncRNA from 1 species
GGCAACUCUGGUUUUGUGCUGGAGAAUCAGGAGUGACACACAGAACAAAUAACCCAGAAGAACAAAGAACAAGCAAUCCAAAGCCGCGGGGGCACGGUGCCAAGAAAGGACACAGCCAACCGUCCCCAGGGGAGCUGAGGAUAUGACAGGCCAGCGACUGCCAACUGUUCUUCUGUCCUCUCGGCCAUAGAACCCCUGGUUUUAGCUGGGCACGAAACGACGUCUCCCAGAAUCCACUACAGUCAUGCACACUCGACCGAAUAAGUUCUUCCGUGGGGUACAAGAAGUUUUUUCUCAGAGGCAAGGAAUUAUACUCUUUUUGUCUCUUUUUCCUUUCUGUUGGCUGGAAUAUACCUGUGAGUGCUGGAGCUGGAGCAGCCACAUUGGAUCCCAAGGUAGAAGGCACGUGUUAAGGAUGAGCAGACAACCAGAAAUCUGGAUGCCUGUUCGUGGAGCUGCCGCACGGACCCUGGACCGGAUAGCUGCAAGUGUCGUUUACCUCGGGGAAGAUUCGGCUUCCACAGCGCUUGCCAUUUUGCUGUCUCCAUGCAGGUCGCCUCUGGGAUCUACGGCAGAAGCACAAGCGAAGACCCAUAUACCACGUACUUAAAUAUUUAAAAAGCAAGCAAACAAGCUGCUAAAUAAAGGACGUCCUCUCCUCUUGCCUUGAAAAAUAUACCUUUAUAGUGGCAAAAUGAAGAAGUGCGACUGAAGCCCUGGUUUUCAUAUGCUGGAACACUUUCGUAUUUGGGUAUUCUGUGGAUGCGCCGGCUGUGUUUAGACAAGGGGUGAAAUAAAGACAUACAUAAUUCAUAGAUUAUUAUUGUCUUAGUCCAUAAAGAUAUUCAUGCUUUCGUUUCACCAAAAUUAUUAAUUUGUGUUCCAGUGACAGGAUGAGCCAAAAGACGAAAGAAAUAAAAUACGGUUUUCAUGAAAAAAAGAUACAUCAUAGUAAAUGUAAAAUCUUGAAAACAUUUUUUUUCCCAAAAAUGGGAUCUUUCUAGAACAUUCAAAGUCAUUUGAUGAAAGGAGAAGGCAAAAAAACAAAUUAUAAUCAAUAAUUUGUAUUUGAAAUCAUCAUUUUUUUCUAAUCAAUACAACAGUCUAAAAUCAUCACUUG